UAACACGUGAGCAACCUGCCUUCGAGAGGGGAAUAACGGCUGGAAACGGUCGCUAAUACCGCAUAAUAUACAGGAGGGACAUCCCUUUUGUAUCAAAGAUUUAUCGCUCGAAGAUGGGCUCGCGUCCGAUUAGGUAGUUGGUGAGGUAACGGCCCACCAAGCCGACGAUCGGUAGCCGGACUGAGAGGUUGAACGGCCACAUUGGGACUGAGACACGGCCCAGACUCCUACGGGAGGCAGCAGUGGGGGAUAUUGCACAAUGGGGGAAACCCUGAUGCAGCGACGCCGCGUGUGGGAAGACGGUCCUCUGGAUUGUAAACCACUGUCCCCAGGGACGAAGAUGACGGUACCUGGGGAGGAAGCUCCGGCUAACUACGUGCCAGCAGCCGCGGUAAUACGUAGGGAGCAAGCGUUGUCCGGAAUUACUGGGUGUAAAGGGAGCGUAGGCGGGAUGGCAAGUUGGGUGUUAAAUCUACCGGCUCAACUGGUAGUCGCACUCAAAACUGCUAUUCUUGAGUGAAGUAGAGGCAGGCGGAAUUCCUAGUGUAGCGGUGAAAUGCGUAGAUAUUAGGAGGAACACCAGUGGCGAAGGCGGCCUGCUGGGCUUUUACUGACGCUGAGGCUCGAAAGUGUGGGGAGCAAACAGGAUUAGAUACCCUGGUAGU
rnacentral:rRNA from 1 species